rnacentral:rRNA from 1 species
GGUCGAGUCAACGUUGAAAUACCACCCUUUGUUUAUUUGGAGCCUAACUUGAGAAAUCAAGGACAUUGCGUGGUGGGUAGUUUGACUGGGGUGGUCGCCUCCUAAAGUGUAACGGAGGUGUACGAAGGUAGGUUUGAUUGGAUUGGAAACCCUUUCUAAAGUGUAACGACAAAAACUUGCUUGACUGCGAGAUAGACAUAUCGAGCAGGGACGAAAGUCGGUCGUAGUGAUCCGGGAGUCCUUCGUGGAAAGGCUCUCGCUCAACGAAUCAAAGAAACGCCAGGGAUAACAGGCUAAUACCUCCCAAGAGUUCAUAUCGACGGAGUUGUUUGGCACCUCGAUGUUGAUUCAUUGCGUCCUGGAGGUGAAGAAGCUUCCAAGGGUUCGGCUGUUCGCCGAUUAAAGCAGUACGUGAGUUGAGUUCAGAACGUCGUGAGACAGUUCGGUCCCUAUCUGCCGUGGGUGUAGGAAUAUUGAGAAGA